GAGGAGACACGCUCCCAGGCCACAGAGCAGGGCAUGCGUGCGCUGCUGGCCGUUGUGC
rnacentral:SRP_RNA from 1 species